UACGAAGGGGGCUAGCGUUGUUCGGAAUCACUGGGCGUAAAGCGGGUGUAGGCGGCUCUAUAAGUCAGGAGUGAAAGCCCCAAGCUUAACUUGGGAAGUGCUUUUGAUACUGCAGAGCUUGAAUGUGGGAGAGGGUAGUGGAAUUCCAGGUGUAGUGGUGAAAUACGUAGAUAAUCUGGAGGAACACCCGGUGGCGAAGGCGGCUACCUGGCCCAACAUUUGGACGCUGAGACCCGAAAGCAUGGGGAUCAAACAGG
rnacentral:rRNA from 1 species